UUUAGUCUCAUUUCCUCUCUGUCCGGGCAGUGCACUUUUUCCUCUCUUUUCUGCUCUUUUUUCUUUUUCAUUUCUCCACAAUUUCAAACUUCAAUUCCUCCCUCAUUUGUGAGAAUUUUUGGGUGCCGUUUGCGGCAAAUCGAAAAGCUCGACGAGAUCUUCACGUCUACAUAAACUAUUUCAGCUUUUGGUCUCCCCUAGGAUUUCGAAUUUGAGACCCUUUUUGAGGGUUUUACUACAAAUUUGAGGUGCUGUUUGCAGCAAAUCGAAGAGCUCGGCGAGAUCUUCACGUCUACACAAACAAUUUCAGCUUUUGGCCUCCCCUAGGAUUUCGAAUUUGAGACCCAUUUUGAGGGUUUUCCUACAAAUUUGAGGAUACGGAAAAAAAAAAAGCUGACGGACACGAUCCACCACAAGUUUAGACUUGAUUGGAGAUUUAUUUUAUUUUGCUAACUUUUGUAUUAGAAUUCUAAUAUUUUGUAAAUGUAAUCUUAACUAUUUUGUGAAACUUUAGUUUAAUUGAUAUAAUGUUAUAAGUUAUGGACUUUUAAAUUUUAGCUACAUUUAUGAACUGUAACUUGAUGUAGCUAAGGUGUGUUCCUUGUUUGGAUGAGAUGGAGGAACGGGAUUUUUUAUAUGAAUGUAAUCAUUUUUGGGAAUGUGAUAUAAAAAUUUUAUUGAGCGUUGGGACAGAAUAGGUAAGUUUUAAGGCCUAGUGAGACCAUUGCAUUUUUAUGUAUUUCAACAUGUUGUAGAGGGACUUUUUAUGCGGAGGUCAUGCCGAAAUUUUAUAUAUUUUAUUAUUAUUAUUUUAGUAUCUUUUUGGGUCGUUACA